AUGAACGAAAUCAGCAAGGGGGGAAGCCAUAGUUAGGGUUUUCAAGCUUCCAAGCUCCAUAGUAAGUGAUCCCAAGCCCCGUUUUUAAUGUUCUUUACGUUUUUGAGAUCCCGGUAGCUUAAUUUAGCUUAUUCUAGCAAUAAUUUAACCUAGGGUUUAUAUUUGAAAAAAUACCCAUAGGUGAAAAGUGUUUAUUUUGAUGUUUUAUGAUAGAAUAUGAAGCUAUAAAUUAUGUUAAACAACUUUUGCUAAGCGAUUUUAAGUGAAAACGAGUAAAACGACAUAAUCGGUAAAAAUACCUAAUGUUCAUAAGUACAUGUUAGAGUGGGAAUUUGAUGUUGCCAUAGAAGGGAAAAAUGUUCAGAAUGUUAUAAAACAUAAGAAUAAGAGAUGAAGUUUAAUUUCCGAGCCUUGGGGAAAAAUGUAAUUAUGUAAAAGUUUAGGGGCAAAAUUGUAAUUUUGAAAAAGUUAGAGUCGAGGGCUGUUUUGAUGAAUGUGAUUAUUAAAUAAGUUAAAUUUACUAUUUUAGAUCAAGAAGUACGAAACUCGAGGUUAGACAAAGGGAAGAAUAAAGUUGAAGACUAAGUUGGUGAAUUUGGCUAUAAUUGGUACCGAGGUAAGUUUACGGUAAAUAAAUGCAAUAUUUCAAUAUUUAUUAUUAAUGCUGUUAAUUUCCAGCAAUUAUGAAUUUAUUUUAUGAAUUUAUUUGAUGAUGAUCCAAGCAUGAAAUGAUAGAGAAUUAAAAUUUAAAAGUCCCGUUGAUACAUAAGGAUGGUACUGGAUACGAAUGUCAUGACAUUUGGGUAAAGAGAUCCCAUGUAAGACCAUGUCUGGGACAUGGCAUUGGCAUCCUUAAGAUCAUGAGAGGUCCCCUGUAAGACCAUGUCUGGGACAUGGCAUGGGCACCGAGACGAGAGGUCCCAUGUAAGACCAUGUCCGGGACAUGGCGUUGGCACCGAGAUGAGAGGUCCCCUAUAAGACCAUGUCUGGGACAUGGCAUGGGCACCAUCACGAGAACAUCCCAUGUAAGACCAUGUCUGGGACAUGGCGUUGGCACCGAGAUGAGAGGUCCCCUAUAAGACCAUGUCUGGGACAUGGCAUGGGCACCAUCACGAGAACAUCCCAUGUAAGACCAUGUCUGGGACAUGGCUUUGGCAUGUUAUUAUCAGAAGAGACCCGAGUAUCCUUAUUAUUCCAAUGUAGCUCAACGGGCUUGUAAACGAAUCAUGUUCAUGAAAGUUCAGUUUAAAGCAUAAAUGGCAAGCUCAGGUAAGUUGUAAGGCUUAAGAACUUAUUAUACUAUCAAUUGAUGUUCAACGAUGCAGCAAGGAUUGAGUAAGUUAUGCACACAAGUAUUCUAAGUAAACAAGUAAGAGAACUAGUAUGAGAUUAACUAAAGAGUAAACUAGAGAUAUAGACAUUGAGUUUAAUUAUUUAAGUUAAAUAUUGUUAUUUAUUUGCUAGUAAACUUACUAAGCUUUAUGCUUACUUCUUUUAUUUCUCUUUCUCUUAUAGUAUUGCAGAGCUACUUCAAGGAUCCUAAAGAAGUCGGAGAUCGUCCACACUAUCAACUACAACUGCUCGGUAUUUUAUAUCGAAACACGUUUGAGUUAUGGCAU
rnacentral:lncRNA from 1 species